AAGGACAUUUUCACAAAUUUUUAAAAAACAAAAUAUCAGUUCAUCGUCUUUGUCGAACUUCAUCGUCUUUGUCGAACUUCUCUCAUCGUCUUUGCUCAACCUUUUGCUCAGAAAAAAGUAUCAUUUCAUCAUUUUUCUCAACCAAAUCUCAAUCCCAUUGAAGAAACAAAUUCUCUAAAUGGGUUAGCUGCAAUUUGUUAGGAACAGGAUGUCUCUUUGCUAGAUAUUUGUAUUUUUUCUCAAAUAAGGUUCUCAAAGUUUGUGCUCCAAGAUAUGUGGUCAAAAACCUUUUGAGUAUAUAUGUAUUUUUUUAGAUUGCAUGUGCAAUUUCUUCAAUUAAUUUGAAAAUUUAUAGGAACAAAAUUCUGUAAGGUCGAAGAACGAAGAAUUCGAGUUCAAAAUUCUUGAGGUUAUAGAGCUGAAGAUAUGGAUCAGGAUUUGCAAAAGAAACUGGAAGAGGAGCGUGAACACAUGAAAUGAGAAGUAGAGAAAAUGUUUCAAGAAAAAAUGGCAGCUCUCAUGGCUGGAAUGCAACAGAGUAUAUGUUUUAUUCGAGCCAAAGUGAGUUAUUUACACUUAGCAUACAUUCUUGGUACCAGUUCUGUUGUAGUCCAUAUAUCACGAUCAAAAUAGUUGCAAAUUUCAUGCAGCAGAUGAUGAAUCCUCCUAUUUCAUGGACUUUAGUUAGAUUCUAUUCAUGUACUUUAUUUUCUUACUCAUAUGUAUUGAUUAAUGGUAGUUGGAGUCGCGUCCCAGCUAUCUAUAGUCAGUAUAGUAGAGGCUUCAUAGACGGUCAGUAUAGUUGAUGUAUUCAGUUUCAGUUUGUUUUGUAUAAGCAGAGUUGUAUUCAUCUUAAUGUAGCUUUGUAUUGAUCAAGUUUAGAAAAGAUUUAUUUUUUGCA